rnacentral:rRNA from 1 species
GACGAACGCUGGCGGCGUGCCUAAUACAUGCAAGUAGAACGCUGACGGAGGAUCUUGCUCUUCUGGAUGAGUUGCGAACGGGUGAGUAACGCGUAGGUAACCUGCCUGGUAGCGGGGGAUAACUAUUGGAAACGAUAGCUAAUACCGCAUAAGAGUAGAUGUUGCAUGACAUUUACUUAAAAGGUGCAAUUGCAUCACUACCAGAUGGACCUGCGUUGUAUUAGCUAGUUGGUGGGGUAACGGCUUACCAAGGCGACGAUACAUAGCCGACCUGAGAGGGUGAUCGGCCACACUGGGACGGAGACACGGCCCAGACUCCUGCGGGAGGCAGCAGUAGGGAAUCUUCGGGAAUGGACGGAAGUCUGACCGAGCAACGCCGGGUGAGAGAAGAAGGUUUUCGGAUCGUAAAGCUCUGUUAUAAGAGAAGAACGAGUGUGAGAGUGGAAAGUUCACACUGUGACGGUAUCUUACCAGAAAGGGACGGCUAACUACGUG